rnacentral:rRNA from 1 species
UACGAAGGGGGCUAGCGUUGCUCGGAAUCACUGGGCGUAAAGGGUGCGUAGGCGGGGCUUUAAGUCAGGGGUGAAAUCCUGGAGCUCAACUCCAGAACUGCCUUUGAUACUGAGGAUCUUGAGUUCGGGAGAGGUGAGUGGAACUGCGAGUGUAGAGGUGAAAUUCGUAGAUAUUCGCAAGAACACCAGUGGCGAAGGCGGAUCUCUGGACAGCUACUGACACUGAGGCACGAAGGCCAGGGGAGCAAACGGG